UACGGGGGGGUAAGCGUUGUUCGGAAUUACUGGGCGUAAAGGGCUCGUAGGCGGCCAACUAAGUCAGACGUGAAAUCCCUCAGCUUAACUGGGGAACUGCGUCUGAUACUGGAUGGCUUGGAUUCGGGAGAGGAAUGCGGAAUUCCAGGUGUAGCGGUGAAAUGCGUAGAUAUCUGGAGGAACACCGGUGGCGAAGGCGGCAUCUGGACCGAUAUUGACGCUGAGGAGCGAAAGCCAGGGGAGCAAACGGG
rnacentral:rRNA from 1 species